GAUGAACGCUGGCGGCGUGCCUAAUACAUGCAAGUCGAGCGAACGGACGAGAAGCUUGCUUCUCUGAUGUUAGCGGCGGACGGGUGAGUAACACGUGGAUAACCUACCUAUAAGACUGGGAUAACUUCGGGAAACCGGAGCUAAUACCGGAUAAUAUUUUGAACCGCAUGGUUCAAAAGUGAAAGACGGUCUUGCUGUCACUUAUAGAUGGAUCCGCGCUGCAUUAGCUAGUUGGUAAGGUAACGGCUUACCAAGGCAACGAUGCAUAGCCGACCUGAGAGGGUGGUGGGCCACACUGGAACUGAGACACGGUCCAGACUCCUACGGGAGGCAGCAGUAGGGAAUCUUCCGCAAUGGGCGAAAGCCUGACGGAGCAACGCCGCGUGAGUGAUGAAGGUCUUCGGAUCGUAAAACUCUGUUAUUAGGGAAGAACAUAUGUGUAAGUAACUGUGCACAUCUUGACGGUACCUAAUCAGAAAGCCACGGCUAACUACGUG
rnacentral:rRNA from 1 species